rnacentral:lncRNA from 1 species
GAGGUGCCAAACAUACUCUAAACAACUCAUAAACAACUACCCAAAAACCCCCUAAAGCAUCACUUAAACAUGCAUAGAAAACACUCAAGAAAAGGCUGGGCAGGGCACUUUCGGCGGCACCUUCGGCGGCCGAAAGUCCCAGACAGAGACGAAAGACAGGCAGGUUCGGGGGCACCUUCGGCGGCCGAACCUUCUCUCCAGAGACGAAAGUCAGGCACUUUCGGCGGCCGAACAUUACCUUCGGCGGCCGAAAGUCUGCUUUCAAGCC